rnacentral:rRNA from 1 species
UGGGGAAUAUUGGACAAUGGGCGAAAGCCUGAUCCAGCCAUGCCGCGUGUGUGAAGAAGGUCUUCGGAUUGUAAAGCACUUUAAGUUGGGAGGAAGGGCAUUAACCUAAUACGUUAGUGUUUUGACGUUACCGACAGAAUAAGCACCGGCUAACUCUGUGCCAGCAGCCGCGGUAAUACAGAGGGUGCAAGCGUUAAUCGGAAUUACUGGGCGUAAAGCGCGCGUAGGUGGUUUGUUAAGUUGGAUGUGAAAUCCCCGGGCUCAACCUGGGAACUGCACUCAAAACUGACUGACUAGAGUAUGGUAGAGGGUGGUGGAAUUUCCUGUGUAGCGGUGAAAUGCGUAGAUAUAGGAAGGAACACCAGUGGCGAAGGCGACCACCUGGACUAAUACUGACACUGAGGUGCGAAAGCGUGGGGAGCAAACA